GUUCAGCUGUGCUGACUUUGAGAAAGGAGAUUUCCUGCUGGAAUAUAGAGGGGACCUCAUAGAUAAAGAAGAAUGUGAACGGAGGCAAAGGAUAUAUCAUGAUGCACUUAAAGUUUAUAUAUUUGAGUUUCGCUAUAAUGGAAAGCUUCUCUGCAUUGACGCAGCCCGGGAUGAUGGUAAACGAUGACCAUAUUAACCCAAACAGCAGGAUGAGAACUAUCUCUGUGGAUGGAAAACCUCACUCAAAGAGCAUCUGUCCUGGUGAAGAGAGAACUGCUUCUGACUGGCCAUGGCGAUGCACGAAAAUGAAAGCGAGCCAGAAACUGAAAAACCACGAAGAGGGCAAAAAGUGGCAUGAUCAAAUGUUGAAAUUACA